AUUGAACGCUGGCGUCAGGCCUAACACAUGCAAGUCGGGCGAGCGGCGGACGGGUGAGUAAUGUAUGGGGCUCUGCCUGAUUGAGGGGGAUAACUACUGGAAACGGUAGCUAAUACCGCAUACCCUCAGAUGCACCCAUAUGGGAUUAGCUAGUAGGUGAGGUAACGGCUCACCUAGGCGACGAUCCCUAGCUGGUCUGAGAGGAUGAUGUGGCAAACUGGGACUGAGAAAAGGCGAAGAAUCCUACGGUAGGCAGCAGUGGGGAAGAUUGAAGAACGGGCGCUAGCCUGAUGAAUCCAUGCCGCGUGUAGGAAGAAGGACUUCGUGUUGGAAAGUAUUUUCGGUCGGGAGGCGUUACAGUCAGAAGAAGAACCGGCUAACUCCGUGCUAGCAGCCGCGGUAAUUC
rnacentral:rRNA from 1 species